AAAAAAGUACAUAAAUGUAACCAGAACUUGGGUACCCAACCAAAUAUAGACUUCUUAGGGGCAGAAUCCUUGGCUGCUUUGUUCACUUCCUGGCACGUACGUCAGAGGAAAACCACAUGAACAAUGUUGGAGUCUUUCUAUAUUUUCUUUGCAAACGUAAAGCAUAUGCAAGGUAGCUGAGCUUUCCAAUUAGCUGGCUCUCAGAAUAAAGUGAGAAGGUGAUACAUGUAGGUACAAUUAUUAUAUGAUUGUCAGCAAUUCUGAUUAAAUACAUAUGGGUCAGUUUUUGAAAACAGAAAAGUUUGUCUUUGAUUAAAAUAAAAUUUGAAAAACAACACCUCCUCCCUAACAGAAUGUUCCUAGCUUCUUUUCCCCCUUCUUUUGUAGCUUAUCUCAAGAUAGAAAACUUUUGGGAAGGCCCUGUAGUUCAUUCAUGGCUUAGCUCUUACGAGUGAAGGUCUUCAGAAAUGUAGAAGUUCUGGGUCACAACUGACUGUGUUGGCUGGCACUUAGGCUAAGUUUUACUAUUUUUGCAUAGUAGGCAUUUAAUAAAUAAUUGUUGAAGGAAGAAAAGAGGAAGACAUGAGAUCAGGCAUGUGAAGUGGUUAUCAGAAUGCCUGGCUCAUAGUAGUUGCUCAAUAAAAGACAGAUGCUUGGAUUUGUAAACAAUGAGAUGCCCUGAGUAAGAGUAUUAAAAGGAAUGUGCUGUGGAUUCUGAAGAAGAAAAGAAGUAUUCUAGGGGCUCCUAUAAAAGCCUUUGGCCUCUUGGUAAAAGAGACAAGAAACUGCCUUGAUUCUCCUUAUUUUUAUAUUGAACCCAGACAUGAUGCCAUUUGUGGCAUAAAGUGACAGAGGUGAGGACAAAGGUCAUAUGUCAAUGGUGGCUGAGUAAAAGUCCACCUUCAUAACAGCUUAAUGGAGCUGACGUACCAGCCCUACACUGUUGACCUCCUGACUUGUGGUUGUGUGAUUUGGAUAAGCCACUAGAUGUUGGCUCUGUCAUUUUGUGCAGCCAGAAGGAAUCCUGACAAUCCAGCCACACUAGACUCAACGGGCACGUCUGCAUGUGUGGAUCCCACCACCAAUGAGGUGCAGUCUUGAGAUGGAAAAGCAAAGACAUUCCCCUGUGUCUCCUUUAUACUGGCCUUCAAUUUUAUUCUUUGGUAAGUUUCCAGGUCCGCUUUUAUUGAUAUUACACACAGGAUUAUCAUUUCUUGAGUUUCCUUCUAGCUCUCAUCUCAUAUUCCCCAUGACUGUUCUUCAGGGUGACAGUGAUGAAGAGGAUAAGGUCUAUAUCCAAGUCCAACUCAUCUCAGACGUCUGGGCCUCUCAGAGCCACAUAAAUUCACUCCUGGAACUGCCCUCUGGGCACCGACGAAGUAGGCGGGAAUGUCAGCUCUGCCUACAAGUGCAGAGGUGAUCUAGUCCAGGGGUCCCUUGGAGGUGCAUCAAAGACUUACUGAGAAGAGGGAGCCCAACAUUUGGACUUGGGUGUGUCUCUCAUUACAAACACCUCAGUGACUGGUGUCUGCCAGAGCAACGUUUUGCAGGGACGUCGUGAAAGGCUGAUGGAGAAGUGGAAUCCAGCUCCUUUCUUUCUCUCAGCGGGGUCUCCCUAGCCUGGAGGAGGUUUGGAGAUAUUCGUCUUCCUCUGAGCAGCCCUGAGGUCUGGCCACCUAAAAUUAGGGAAACAACAGGGGGACAGAUAGGAGGGUGUGAAAGACCAGCUGGGAGAUGAUUUUAUUUAGGCUCUCACAGUAGGGGAAAUGUUCACUAGUGAGAACUACCUCAAAGAAAAGAAAGAAAACCUGGAGUUUUACAGAAAAGCAAGUAAACAAGGAGUGCUGAGAAAAGGUAGGAGAGAGUGAGCCUUAUCUGAGUCCUGAGGAAUCUCUGCCAGGGCAGGGCGAUCCUUUGUGCUUUGCCCUUUCUUGGAACGUGAUAGCAUUGGAGGGGAUUUCUUAACUGUAGCCGCUUUCUGGGAACACAGGGCUCAGAUAAAGUUUAACAUUGUCAAGGGAAAACUCUAAAGCAAAUAUGUAUAUGCCGCUCUUUCCCCCCUCUGCAGUUAAAGGCUUCUUUUUUAAAAGAAUUGAAGUAUAGUUGACUUACAAUAACAUAUUAAUUUCAGGUAUACAACAGAGUAAUUUGAUAUUUUUAAAGAUAUACUCCAUAGAAACUUAUUAUAAAAUGUUGACUAUAUUCCCUGUGUUGUACAUGACAUCCUUGUAACUUCUUUAUUUUAUACCUAGUAGUUUGUAUCUUUUAACCCCCUCACCUACUUCCCCCUCCCCUACCUUCCCCCCCUCCAAUAAAUCCCAGUUUGACCUCUGUAUCUGUGAGUCUGUUUCUGUUUGGUUAUACUUGUUCAUUUGUUUUAUUUUCUAGAUUCCACAUCUAAGUGAAAACCUACCGUAUUUGUCUUUCUCUGUCUGACUUAUUUCACUAAGAAUAACACCUUCCCACAGUUAAAGGCUUCUUUUCACACAGCUGGCAUCCUAUCUUGUUCCUGGCUAGUUGUCAACUAAUUCUUAAUAAAGUGUGAAACACCUAAGGUUCUGAUUUGCAUAAAGAUGGUAUUUGUGAGCUUAUGUUUGGACUAUGUUAUGAUUUUUAAAAGAAGAAGAGACCCAUUUUAAUAGUAAUCUUUAAAAGCGAAGUUUCUGACAGAUGACAAUUCACUUGGACUAUUACGUGGAAAUCCCUGCCACAAAAGGAAGAAACUUGCAUUUUCUCAGCACACCCAGGUUUGACAGGACUCCUGUGAUCUUAGGACCUCCUGCAGCCCUGCAAAGUCAGAGUUUCUCAACUUCUGAUGAUGGGGUCUCGUUAACUCUUCGUGGUGGGGUCUGUCCUGUGCAUUUUUGGGUAUGUUGCGGCAUUCCUGGCCUCUCCCCUCUCUAUGCCAUCAGCACUCCCAUCCCUCCCUCCCCUCUGCAGUAGGGACCAUCAGAAACGUCUGCGGACAUUGCCAAGUGUCCUCUGGGAGGCAAAAACGUCCCCAGCUGAGAACCAGUGAUUAAAGAGUUUAUGUUUUAGAUUCAGAAAAGGUCAGGAUUUGAAUAGGAAUGGAAAAUAUAAGCCCUACUUUGAAACAGAGUUUAAUAAAAGAAUUAGGUUGAUAGGGUAGUAACCGGAAACAACAUUACAGUCCAUGGAAGUAGGCAGAAAAGCACAGAAUAACUAGGACCAAGUGUUAAAAAUCCAAAGGAAGGGAUGAGGGAAAGACUGGUGCCUAAUUAAGAAAGACCUGGGCGUUUCCAAAUGAACAAAAUUAAAGAAAAAAUGUGAUCAGGAGAUUAAAAGUCCACUUAAAGGUCAUGUGGUAUAGUUGUUGAUUUCCUUUUCUGUUAUUUUAAUACUUAAUUAUUUCAUAUGAAGAUUAUAUAUUUUUAUUUUGUUCCAUUUAUAUUAAUAAGUGAUAUUUAAAAGGACACGUGUUCAGCCAUGUUCUUUUCUUUUUCAUGUUUCAGGAGAACUUACUCAGUCUGAGACUCAGUUGUGCCAUCUGGUGUUACAAACCUCAAACUGCAGGCAAAAAGAAUCCUGAGAAAAUUCUCUGGGGGCCUAACAGGCCGAUUUGCUUUUUCUCAGAGACAAAACAAAAGCAAAAACAACAACAACAAAAACGCACAACAAGGUGGUAUUGAAGGCAGUUUAACACGCAACUGUUUUCAGUAGUAUUUCUGUUUUAACAGUAUUUUCACUAGUUUUAAAUCUCUUGUGGGCUGGGACCGGGUCUCAUUUGCCUUUGUAUCCUUAGCAUGAUCCUUAGAAUACAGUAGAUACUUAAUACAUAUUUGCUGAAUAAAUGGAUGAAUGCAUGUGGUUUGAGACUCAAAGAAAUGGGUCUCCUUGGCAAAAUUUCAGGCAGAGACAGGUAUGCUGUGCUGGGCAGUGGUAGGACCAGGAAAAAGCAUCAUGGCAUUUGAGUAGUUUCUAUGCCAUCAUUGGGAAGCGUUCCUUAGAGAAUAGACCCGUCUAGUAACGUGGGCCCAACAUUUCAGCAUGGUCUGCAACACUCAUCAUGAUCUCUGCAAAGAACCUUAACCCGGACCAGGGAUGUUUUUAGAGCCCUCUCACCUCUGAGCCACAGCCACCAUCCUCUGAACUCCAGCUCUAUUAAGAGGACUUAAUUCUGCAACCAAAACCUCUGAGGUUUAAGAGCUGUAUUUGUGCAGCCACAUAGCCAAAUUCACUGGUAGGAACUAGAGAGUUUUCUAAGAUCCUGUUCACUCGUGAAUUUGCAUGUCGAAAUGAAGAUGUAGAAAUAUCCAUGAUAGACAUUCUCCUGUAUUUCGCCAUGUGGUUGAGUGUUAUGAGAUUUAUAGCUUGAGAACAUAAUGCACAGAUUUGUAAAAUUUCAUGGAGUUUUGCCAGAAUGGAUGGAGUCCGUGAUAUUCCUCUGAUUUGAAGUAUUUAUUUUAUCGACUGGUGAAAUGAUAAUCAUUUUUAUUCUUUUUUUUUUUUUCUCACUCAUUCCUUCUAUAAACAUGUGCUAACUGAGCGCUUGUUCUGAGUAGAGAACUGUGCUAGGAGCCUUUAAGGUUUGAGGAAGGCAGAGGCUCUUUAAAACCAAGAAAGAAGACAGUUUAAUAGUGAAAAUGAAAGUUUAAGAGUGAAAGUUCUAAGAGUUUAAGUGAAAAUGCAACUGGUGCACCUUUGCAAGACCCUGACUACAUUCUGUGAUUAUGGUUUGAAUUUGCAUAUGCUUAUUUGGUGCAGUGAAGGGAGCGCUGAGCAGAAUAAAUUCUCCUUGUUCA